rnacentral:rRNA from 1 species
UACGUAGGUGGCAAGCGUUGUCCGGAUUUACUGGGCGUAAAGAGCGCGCAGGCGGCUGGUCAAGUCCGAUGUGAAAUCUCCCGGCUUAACUGGGAAACUGCAUCGGAAACUGAUCGGCUUGAAGGUGGGAGAGGGUAGUGGAAUUCCCGGUGUAGUGGUGAAAUGCGUAGAUAUCGGGAGGAACACCAGUGGCGAAGGCGACUACCUGGCCCAUUCUUGACGCCGAGGCGCGAAAGCUAGGGGAGCGAACGGG